GACUACAGGGGUAUCUAAUCCUGUUUGCUCCCCACGCUUUCGCGUCUCAGCGUCAGAAUCGGCCCAGUGCCCCGCUUUCGCUUCUGGCGUUCCUCUAGAUAUCUACGCAUUUCACCGCUCCACCUAGAGUUCCAGGCACCUCUACCGACCUCAAGCUAGGUAGUUUGCCGUGCAGUUCCAUGGUUGAGCCAUGGGAUUUCACACGACACUUACCAAGCCGCCUACACGCGCUUUAAGCCCAGUGAUUCCGAACAACGCUUGCCUCCUCUGUCUUACCGCGACUGCUGGCACAGAGUUAGUCGAGGCUUCCUCUGGGGCGACUCAACGCCAGGACGUAUUAGGUCCCUUUGCUUGUUGACCCCUGACAGCAGUUUACAUCCCGAAGGACUUCCUCCUGCACGCGGCAUUGCUGGGUCAGGCUUGCGCCCAUUGCCCAAUAUUCGUUACUGCAGCCCCCCGUAGG
rnacentral:rRNA from 1 species